CCUACGGUGGCUGCAGUGGGGAAUAUUGGACAAUGGGCGAAAGCCUGAUCCAGCCAUGCCGCGUGUGUGAAGAAGGCCUUCGGGUUGUAAAGCACUUUCAGUGGGGAAGAAAGCCUUGGGGCUAAUACCCUCGAGGAAGGACAUCACCCACAGAAGAAGCACCGGCUAACUCCGUGCCAGCAGCCGCGGUAAUACGGAGGGUGCGAGCGUUAAUCGGAAUUACUGGGCGUAAAGCGCGCGUAGGCGGUCUGAUAAGCCGGUUGUGAAAGCCCCGGGCUCAACCUGGGAACGGCAUCCGGAACUGUCAGGAUAGAGUGCAGGAGAGGAAGGUAGAAUUCCCGGUGUAGCGGUGAAAUGCGUAGAGCUCGGGAGGAAUACCAGUGGCGAAGGCGGCCUUCUGGACUGACACUGACGCUGAGGUGCGAAAGCGUGGGUAGCAAACAGGAUUAGAUACCCCGGUAGUC
rnacentral:rRNA from 1 species